UUAUCCAUGCCUAGUUUGAU
rnacentral:miRNA from 1 species